rnacentral:rRNA from 1 species
AUUGAACGCUGGCGGCAGGCCUAACACAUGCACGUCGAGCGAGCGGCGGCCGGGUGAGUUAUGUCUGGGAUACUGCCUGCUGGAGUGGGAUCACUCCUGGCAACGGCAGCUAAUUCCCCAUAUCUUCUGCCAUGCCCCUAUGGGAUUAGCUAGUCGGUGGGGUAACGGCUCACCUAGGCGACGAUCCCUAGCUGGUCUGAGAGGAUGACCAGCCACACUGGAACUGAGACACGGUCCAGACUCCUACGAGAGGCAGCAGUGGGGAAUAUUGCACAAUGGGCGCAAGCCUGAUGCAGCCAUGCCGCGUGUGUGAAGAAGGCCUUCGGGUUGUAAAGCACUUUCAGCGGGGAGGCGUUACCCGCAGAAGAAGCACCGGCUAACGCCGUGCCAGCAGCCGCGGUAAUUC